UAGAGAUGAGUGGCGAACGGGUGAGUAAUACAUAGGUAACCUGCCCCUGUGCGGGGGAUAACAGGAGGAAACUCCUGCUAAUACCGCAUAGCCAUGAGCACCGCAUGGAGCUCAUGCCAAAUAUCCUUUAUGGGAUAGCGCAGGGAUGGACCUAUGGCGCAUUAGCUGGUCGGCGGGGCAACGGCCCACCAAGGCAACGAUGCGUAGCCGGCCUGAGAGGGCGGACGGCCACAUUGGGACUGAGACACGGCCCAGACUCCUACGGGAGGCAGCAGUAGGGAAUUUUCGGCAAUGGGGGAAACCCUGACCGAGCAACGCCGCGUGAGCGAAGAAGGCCUUCGGGUCGUAAAGCUCUGUUGUAAAGGAAGAACGGCGCAUACAGGAAAUGGUAUGCGAGUGACGGUACUUUACCAGAAAGCCACGGCUAACUACGUGCCAGCAGCCGCGGUAAUACGUAGGUGGCGAGCGUUAUCCGGAAUCAUUGGGCGUAAAGAGGGAGCAGGCGGCCGCAAGGGUCUGUGGUGAAAGACCGAAGCUAAACUUCGGUAAGCCAUGGAAACCGGGCGGCUAGAGUGCGGAAGAGGAUCGUGGAAUUCCAUGUGUAGCGGUGAAAUGCGUAGAUAUAUGGAGGAACACCAGUGGCGAAGGCGACGGUCUGGGCCGCAACUGACGCUCAUUCCCGAAAGCGUGGGGAGCAAAUAGGAUUAGAUACCCUAGUAGUCCACGCCGUAAACGAUGGUCACUAAGUGUCGGGGGUCAAACCCCGGUGCUGCAGUCAACGCAAUAAGUGACCCGCCUGAGUAGUACGUUCGCAAGAAUGCAACUCAAAUGAAUUGACGG
rnacentral:rRNA from 1 species